rnacentral:rRNA from 1 species
AUACAGAGGGUGCAAGCGUUAAUCGGAAUUACUGGGCGUAAAGCGCGCGUAGGCGGUUAGAUAAGUCUGAUGUGAAAGCCCUGGGCUCAACCUGGGAAUGGCAUUGGAUACUGUUUAACUAGAGUAUGGUAGAGGGAAGCGGAAUUCCGGGUGUAGCGGUGAAAUGCGUAGAUAUCCGGAGGAACACCAGUGGCGAAGGCGGCUUCCUGGAUCAAUACUGACACUGAGGCGCGAAAGCGUGGGGAGCGAACAGGAUUAGAUACCCCAGUAGUCC